AUGGGCUGCUGCUGCCGCGUGCAUCGCCCGGACCUAGGGCUUGCCUUCUUUGGUCGUCUCCUCAGGACAGGCCUGAAGACAGAACAGAUCACUGCCAACACCUUCCUCAAGUGCCUCUGCUACGCCAAACGGACGGAAGAGGCUGUGAACAUGCUGCUUCAUGGGAUGUCCGAGCUCGGCUGUGUGCCGGAUGCAAUCUCAUACUCCAUUGUUCUGAAGAGCUUAUGCGAGAAUAGCAUGAGUCAGCGGGCAUUCGACCUGCUCCACAGCGGGCACUCGACCUGCUCUUUCAGUGUGGUGGCAUAUAGCACAGUCAUCCAUGGCUUUUUCAAAGAAGGCAAAACAGGCAAGGCAUGCAAUCUAUUCCAUGAAAUGAUACAUCAAGGGGUUGAUCCUGAUGUGGUGACGUGCAACUCGAUCAUUAAUGCAUUGUGCAAGGCCAGAGCAAUGGACAAGGCAGAGCUAGUCCUUCGGCAGAUGGUCGAUAAAGGUGUUCAGCCCAAUACAGUGACUUAUAAUUGCAUGAUUCAUGGAUAUUCCACGUCAGGGCGGUUGAAAGAGGCUGUUAAAAUGUUGACAGAAAUGACAAGCCGUGGUCUUAUACCAGAUAUUGUUACUUACAAUUCGUUGAUGACUUCCCUUAGCAAGCAUCGAAGAAGCAAAGAAGCGGCAGAAAUAUUUUAUUCCAUGACUGCCAAGGGCCACAAACCGAAUGCUGCCUCGCACCGUAUUUUGCUUAAUGGGUAUGCCACUGAGGGAUGCUUUGCUGAUAUGAUUGAUCUCUUCAACUCAAUGGAAAGCAAUGGUUUUGUAGCCGACUGCCAUGUUUUCACCAUAUUAAUUGAUGCAUAUGCUAAACGUGGAAUGAUGGAUGAAGCUAUGCUCAUAUUUACUGAAAUGCGGGAAAAAGGAGUGAGUCCCGAUGUAUUCACCUAUUACACUGUAAUAGCCGCACUUUGCAGAUUGGGUAGGCUGGCCGAUGCUAUGGACAGGUUCAAUGAGAUGACUGAUAUGGGUGUUCAGCCGAACACAGUUGUUUAUCACUCCCUAAUUCAGGGUUUUUGUAUGCUUGGUGAUUUGGUUAAAGCUAAGGAGUUGGUGUCUGAAAUGAUGAACAAAGGUAUUCCUCGUCCUGACAUUGCGUUCUUCAGUUCAAUAAUAAACAGUCUAUGCAAAGAAGGAAGAGUUAUGGAUGCACAAGAUAUCUUUGAAUUGGUUAUAAGCAUAGAUGAGAGACCUGACGUCAUUACAUUUAACUCACUGAUUGAUGGAUAUGGCUUAAUUGGCCAGAUGGAUAAAGCAUUUGGAGUGCUUGAUGCCAUGGUAUCAGCUGGCAUUGAGCCUAAUGUUGUUACGUAUAGUUCACUUCUUGAUGGCUAUUGUAGAAAUGGAAGGAUCGAUGAUGCUUUGAUUCUAUUCAGAGAAAUGCCGCGCAAGAGAAUUAAACCUAACACUGUUACAUAUGGCAUCAUACUGCAUGGGUUGUUCCGUGCUGGGAGAACUGUUGCUGCAAGGAAAAUGUUCGAUGAGAUGAUCGAAGGGGGUAUACCAGUGAGCAUUUCCAUAUACAAUAUAAUACUUGGAGGUCUUUGUAGAAAUAAUUGUGCAGACGAAGCAAUCACACUAUUUCAGAAAUUAGGAGCAAUGAAUGUCAAGUUCGAUAUUAUAACACUCAAUACCAUGAUUAAUGCAAUGUUCAAGGUUCGGAGAAGAGAAGAAGCUAAUGAUUUGUUUGCUGCAAUAUCAGCCAGUGGGUUGGUGCCUAAUGCUUCUACUUACGGCAUAAUGAUAGAAAAUAUUCUAAAAGAAGGAUCAGUGGAAGAAGUUGACAAUAUGUUUUCAUCAAUGGAGAAGAGUGGUUGUGCUCCCAGCUCUCGUCUUAUAAAUUGUAUCAUCAGAAUGUUGUUGGAAAAAGGGCGAAUGGGUCCUGGAAGAACGAUGUUUGAGCGGGCUGAUGCUAUGCUCAAGUAUUGGAUAUACAAGUUCAUGCCACUCUACGCUGCCAGUUACACUGGUGGAGUCUGUUGCAUACACAUAGGAGAAAUAUUUUCAGUAAGGUACGGCAAAGAAUUCACUGCUGUGACCUUUAGCUUCAGUGCGCGUGACACCAACUCCGCCUUGGGUGACAGAGGAGAGAGAAUUGAUGGAUCUGAUUGA
rnacentral:rRNA from 1 species